CUUUCCCUUCCCCUGAAUUCCCAUGGAUUUCUCCAAUAGAGAACCUUUCCCUUCCCCUGAAUUCCCGUGGAUUUCUCCAGUGGAAAACCUUUCCAUUUCCCUGAAUUCCCACUGAUUUCUCCAAGGGACAACCUUUCCCUUAGUUCCUAUGGAUUUCUCUAGUGGAGAACCUUUCCCUUCCCCUGAAUUCUCAUGGAUUUCUCCAGUGGACAACCUUCCCUAAAUUCCCAUGGAUUUCUCCAAGGGAAAACCUUUCCCUUCCCCUGAAUUCUGGUGGAUUCCUCCAGUGGAAAACCUUUCCCUUCUCCUGAAUUCCCAUGGGUUUCUCCAGGAGAAAAUCUUUCCCUUCCCCUGAAUUCCCAUGGAUUUUUCCAAGGGAAAACCUUUCCCUUAGUUCCUAUGGAUUUCUCUAGUGGAAAACCUUUCCCUUCCCCUGAAUUCCCAUGGAUUUCUCCAGNGUUGGGAUGUGGAGGUGUCACUGUCACUCCUGAGAUUCCAGAGGCACCUUGGAGAGGUUGGGAUAUGGAGGUGUCACUGUCACCCCAGAGAUUCCAGAGACAGCAGCUGACCUUGGAGAAGAGUGGGGAU
rnacentral:lncRNA from 1 species